rnacentral:rRNA from 1 species
CCUACUUUGUUGGACGUUAAUAUCUUCUGUUAAUAUAAUAUUCCCUUAGCCUGCAACUGUCUAGAUAAAAAUCCAAUAACUAUUUAGUAGGCUACAGUAUUUCUCGCUAUUAGAUUAAACCAGACAAAUCACUCCACCGACUAAGAAUGGCCACGCACUACCAAACACCAAAUCAUUAAAGAGCUCUCAAUCUGUCAUCCAUAUGGUGUCCGAGUUAGGUGAGUUUUGUCGUGUUGAAUCGCA